rnacentral:rRNA from 1 species
UCAAGCUAAUAAGAGCGUAGAGUGGAUGCCUUGGCAACAGGAGCCGAAGAAGGACGUGACAAGCUGCGAUAAGCUAUGGGGAGCUGCAAAUAAGCCUAGAUCCAUAGAUUUCCGAAUGGGGAAACCCACCUAGAUUAACCUCUAGGUAUCCAUAAGUGAAUAAAUAGCUUAUGGAGGGGAACCCGGUGAACUGAAACAUCUAAGUAGCCGGAGGAAGAGAAAGAAAAAUCGAUUUUCUGAGUAGCGGCGAGCGAAAGGGAAAGAGCCUAAACCAAUUGUCCUUGUGAUGAUUGGGGUUCGGGCCAGCAACAUGCAUUAACAAAGGUUAGUCGAAUAGUGUUGGAAAGCACAGCCACAGGGAGUAAAAGCCUCGUAGACGAAAACUUAAGUUAGCUAGCUGGUACCAGAGUACCACGGGACACGAGAAAUCUUGUGGGAAUACGGGAGGACCACCUCCUAAGGCUAAAUACUACCUGUUGACCGAUAGCGAAUAGUACCGUGAGGGAAAGGUGAAAAGUACCCCGGGAGGGGAGUGAAAAAGUACCUGAAACUCUAUGCUUACAAUCAGAGGGAGCACGUAUAAUGUGUCACCUCAUGCUUUUUGUAUAACGAGCCAGCGAGUUACGCUGCGUAGCAAGGUUAAGGCAUUCAGUGCCGAAGCCGUAGGGAAACCGAGUCUUAAUAGGGCGAACGAAGUUGCGUGGAGUAGACCCGAAACCAGGCGAUCUAUCCAUGGGCAGGUUGAAGCAGUGGUAAGACACUGUGGAGGACCGAACCCACUAAUGUUGAAAAAUUAGGGGAUGACCUGUGGAUAGCGGAGAAAUUCCAAUCGAGCUUGGAGAUAGCUGGUUCUCCUCGAAAUAGCUUUAGGGCUAGCCUCAUUUGAAGAUAUACGGAGGUAGAGCACUGAAUAGACUAGGGGGCCACAAAGCUUACCGAAUCUUAUCAAACUCCGAAUGCCGUAUAUUACCUAAAUGGGAGUCAGACUAUGUGAGAUAAGUUUCAUAGUCGAAAGGGAAACAGCCCAGACCAUCAGCUAAGGUCCCAAAGUACAUGUUAAGUGGCGAAGGAUGUGCAACUGCACAAACAACCAGGAUGUUGGCUUAGAAGCAGCCAUACAUUUAAAGAGUGCGUAAUAGCUCACUGGUCGAGUGGUUGUGCGCCGAAAAUGUCCGGGGCUGAAACAUGACACCGAAGCUAUGGAUGGAUACGUAAGUAUUCGUGGUAGAGGAGCAUUCUAUACGGAUUGAAGCUGUACCGUAAGGAGCAGUGGACUGUAUAGAAGAGAGAAUGCUGGCAUAAGUAGCGAGAAUAAUGUGAGAAUCAUUAUCAUCGAAAACCUAAGGUUUCCUGGGGAAGGCUCGUCCGCCCAGGGUAAGUCGGGACCUAAGCCGAGAGCAAUAGCUGUAGGCGAUGGACAACUGGUUGAUAUUCCAGUACCACCGAUUAAUCGUUUGACCGACGCAGUGACACAGUAGGAUAGACUAACCAAGUUGAUGGUAGAACUUGGCCAAGCACUGAGGCUGGUAAUCUAGUGAAGUACGGAUUACUAUUAAGGCUGGGGUGUGAUGGGUACAGAAAAUAAGUAUGGAAGUAGUCGAUUUCACACUGGCGAGAAAAGCUGCUAGGAAGAUUAACAGGUGCCCGUACCGUAAACCGACACAGGUAGGUGAGGAGAGAAUCCUAAGAUGAGCGAGAUAACCCUUGUUAAGGAACUCGGCAAAAUGACCCCGUAACUUCGGGAGAAGGGGUGCCACCGAAAGGUGGUCGCAGAGAAUAGGCGCAAGCGACUGUUUAGCAAAAACACAGGUCUGUGCGAAAUCGAAAGAUGACGUAUACGGGCUGACGCCUGCCCAGUGCUGGAAGGUUAAGAGGAAGUGUUAGCAUCUUAUUGCGAAGCACCGAAUUUAAGCCCCAGUGAACGGCGGCCGUAACUAUAACGGUCCUAAGGUAGCGAAAUUCCUUGUCGGGUAAGUUCCGACCCGCACGAAUGGCGUAACGACUUGCGCACUGUCUCAACAAGGGACUCGGCGAAAUUGAAGUACCGGUGAAGAUGCCGGUUACCCGCGAUAGGACGGAAAGACCCCGUAGAGCUUUACUGUAGUUUGGCAUUGGGAUUCGAUAUAUGAUGUACAGGAUAGGUGGGAGACUUGGAAACAUGGACGUCAGUACAUGUGGAGUCAUCCUUGGGAUACCACCCUUCAUAUAUUGGAUUUCUAACGGUAUGCAGUGAUCCUGGUACCGAACAUUGCCAGAUGGGCAGUUUGACUGGGGCGGUCGCCUCCCAAAAAGUAACGGAGGCGCCCAAAGGUUACCUCAGAAUGGUCGGAAAUCAUUCAUUAGAGUGCAAAGGCAAAAGGUAGCCUGACUGCGAGAGAGACAUCUCGAGCAGGUACGAAAGUAGGGCUUAGUGAUCCGGCGGUAGAGAGUGGAAUUGCCGUCGCUCAACGGAUAAAAGCUACCUCGGGGAUAACAGGCUUAUCUCCCCCAAGAGUCCACAUCGACGGGGAGGUUUGGCACCUCGAUGUCGGCUCGUCGCAUCCUGGGGCUGGAGCAGGUCCCAAGGGUUUGGCUGUUCGCCAAUUAAAGCGGCACGCGAGCUGGGUUCAGAACGUCGCGAGACAGUUCGGUCCCUAUCCAUCGUGGGCGUAGGAAAUUUGAAAGGAGCUGACCCUAGUACGAGAGGACCGGGUUGGACGAACCUCUAGUGUACCAGUUGUUCUGCCAAGGGCAUCGCUGGGUAGCCAAGUUCGGAAGGGAUAAACGCUGAAGGCAUCUAAGCGUGAAGCCCCCCUUAAGAUAAGAUUUCCCUCCUUUUAUAGGUUAAGACCCCUUGUAGACUACAAGGUUGAUAGGCUGGAGGUGUAAGUGCAGCAAUGUAUGCAGCUGACCAGUACUAAUAGGUCGAGGGCUUGAUCU